GGGAAGGUGGCCGAAGGCAGGCGGUGGCUUGUAAUUCCACCUAUGGAGAACUUCUCCCCUUUCCA
rnacentral:tRNA from 1 species